GAAAUAGGCAGAAAUUAACUUGACUAAAACGUUCCAUUGGAAUAUUUGAUAAUACAGCUACAAUCUUGAAAGCAAAAGCAAAAUGCAGGAAAACAAAGUGCUAAAAUUAUAAAUUUGAGUUCUAAGAUAAUGUGCUUUGAUUCUCUCCAAAUCCUAAGUUUUUAUAAGCCUCCAAGCAUGAUUUCAGGCUUCAAUCCAUGUUACUAGCAUUCAAGAAGCGUUUCCUAAGCAUUUGAUCAGUUGGAAAGAGAAGGGGCAGGAAAACAUUUCAGAAACAACAAAAUUUGUAACCACUACUAGGGUUGAUGCAUCUUGUAGCAAGGGCUACGAUCCAACCAUAAUAGCCUUUUCUAUUUACUAUGUAGGAGUGCAUGUGGUCACUACGACUCGUAGAAUGGGUUACAGCCAAAGCGUAGUGGCUGUUGAUUUUUGUAUGGUAAAAUUUCCUCUUCGAUGCUCUUUGGUGCCUUUGCCCUCUCUUGGAUCCUAUUUUGUUCUGGAUGGUCCUUUUUUCCUGAAAGUUGGAAAAAAAUAUAAAACAAACAUAAAAGUAGAAAAGGCAAGGAUUAAAGCAACCAAUCAGUCAACCCGAUUUUUUAUCUUUGCCACAUGUUUUGUCAGACAACAUUUAGAACUUCCACCAUAACAUAGAAUAUUAAAUACUUCUAACACAACAACAACGAAACAAAUUCAAUAAAAUCGUUAAAUAUUAAAUCUUAACAACAACAACAAUAAAAAAUCAAUAGAAUCCUUAAACCUUAAAUCUCAAUAAUAGUAAAAAAAAACUAAAUCGAUAGAAUUGUUAAACAUUAAAUCGCAAAAAAAAAAACUAAAUUGAUAGACAACUCGGUUGGUAGCUGUAUAGGGACAUCGGAUGCAAGGUCACAUAUUCGAACCUGCGACAUCCCACUUGUUCUUAUUUAAUAAGGUGGACUCAAGCCACUAGGCUACUUAAACAAAAAAAAACUAAAUUGAUAUAAUCGUCAAUAUUAAAUCUCAACAACAAAAAUAAAAUCAAUAAAAAUAGUUAAAUAUUAAAUCUAAACAACAACGUUAAAUAUUUUACCUGACAUAACAAUAAUGACAACAAUAAACAUUGCUAAUUUGAAUCCAUAUUUUCCUUGCCUCAUUCGAGUUGGAGAAGAGAUGAUGGAGUUCCGAAAUUUAUUAGUAGAAGAAGUGAUGCUUUCAAGUUUUGUUUAUGGAAGAACGGAUGUUUUUUAGUUUGGUUUAAUGGAGAAAAAAAGUUUUGUAAAUGAAAGAUAAGGUUUGGAGGCAGAAGAUGAAGUUUGUCUAAGGCAUAAGUGAAUGAAUGUAGAGCCUUAUAUAUCAUGGAAAAAU
rnacentral:lncRNA from 1 species